ensembl:lncRNA
AGCAAACUAGAUGCUCUAAAGCUUCUUUUAGGAAGACGUUCUCAAGUUGCACUUAAACCUUUUCAAUCAUUUUUGUUCUUCAUGAUAUAAUCUUUGAUUCUGCAGAAUUUUUCAUAUACUUAUUUCGUAUGUAUAUGAAGAAAGAAGUAAAACAAAGCCUGCCUGGAAACAUUCCAACAGAGAACUGCUAUAAGAUGUCUGUCCUGAGGCUCUAGGGUACAAAUUACUGCUGCACACCCUAGAAGCACUAGGGGCAAGAUGAUUGCUAUGGAAGGCCCUAAUGGGACACUCGUCCAGAUUUCCUAAACUGUCUGGCUGAACCAGGAUUUUGGCUAGCCCUUCUAACUAUUGGCUCUUAACAAAUUACUUGAGGUAGUUUGUUGAUUUGGUUAUUUAACUGGUUGGGGCAGUAAUACUGGAAAAUGUAAUGCAAGGGGAAGAACGACAGCACAGCUGUGCAAACAACACUAAGAUGUUCCUCAUGGCCCGUCCUCACUGAUUAAUAUCCCCUCCUCUUCACAGUUAGGGAACGUAGUAAGUUGUACACGUAUAAUGUGCAGAAAUAUAUAUAGUUCUGAUGUGGCUUAUUGUGAGCAUAAUUUAUUAAAGAUAAUUGAAGAGCACACUGAGGCUUGCUCUGUUACAGUCUUCAGGGUAUCAGCAGUAGUUUGAGGGCCCAAGAGGAUUUUAAACUAUGAUCAGCAUGACACAUGCCAGUAGGUGUAUCUUAAACAGAAGAACUGCCAUAGGGCUAUUUUUAGUGUGGCUAUCGGAUGGCUUAGGAUGGAAAAUUGCAGAGCUCUAUUUCAAAAGAUUCUAUGAAGCCAGAGAGGAUGAUCUCAAAAUAUAAGCAGUAUUAAGACUGUAACAAGCGUGAAUACAUUGUCAGAAAGAUGAAGGACAAUUCUUGAUAGUCAUGCAGGAGUGGGAAAGGGGAAGGGGAAGAUACUUUCCCCAGACUGUGGUAAUACAGUUUUGUUUCAGAGUUUGUUUGUUUGUUUUCCUUAUUGUUCACAGGGCUCAGUCCUAAUACCUUCCUAUUUACACCUGCACCAUGUAAUUCCCUCCAAGUUUAAAGCCUUUUCUGUACCAAGUUGGUAUGUUACUGUUGCAUAGAGUUCAAAGCUAGCAGCUGUAUAUUUUUAUAAUCAUUUAUACAGUUAAUGGCAAUCCUUGCACAGGAUUAUCUUCACUAACAGUGCAAAUAAAUGGAUGCCAUUUUAUUCUUCUUGUCUUAUGCAUAUUUUGAUCAGUAAAACAGGUUACUACUACUAAUGUAUGUGUAAGGCAAAAAAAAAGUCAGUAGAAGGUGCAUAAGAUAACUGAGACAUUCACUUGAAAAAUAGCAUUCAUAUACAAUAUACAAAUGCAUAGACACGUUGUGUAACUACACUGUAUUACAUGCUACUGAAGAAGUGUAUGCUGAAGAUUGUAAUGGGAGAACUAACUAUGCUUCAGAGCAUGACAUGUGGCUCCACGUUCUUAAUUUUAGUAGUAUCUAAUCUCUCUGUGGCAGUAAUGUCCCAGCUCGGUUUCCACAGUCAGGUGUAACUUCUUGUUAAUGUGUGGGCUGACUACAUGAGAGUAGGAAAAAACUAAAGAGGCUUAUUUGAAAUUCUUUCCCAAACUCAUGUAAAAGCACAUGUGAGGAUUCUUGCUUAGAAUUAAGAAAAAUGUCAGGUAAUUUGAGGGUAGAAAUUAAGUACUCCCUUGAUUCAUCAUUGCUGUGUAAUUGGCUGUGUUUUCUAGAAAAUGUUGUUGGUUUUCUGAGAUUUUUCUUCCAGUCUUGGAUGUGGAGAAAAAAUAUUGUUCCUUCUUAUUUGAAGACAUGGCCUUAAUAACUGAGAGACUGCUUAAGUGUAGUUCUGCAUAGAAGUUUAAUAGCUCAGCUGCAAUUCCUACAGUUUGCAGGCAGCAGUGUGGAAGGUUGCAGGCGGGUUAGGCUGUGGAGCAUCUGAACUCUAGUUCAUUAUAAAUAUUAUAUUAGUCAGAGCAUUAAGAGGGGUGAAAGGAAUGCAACUUUUUUUCCUAGCUGAGUUCUCUCUGAAAAUUGUACAUUUUGAAAGAUGGUAACGUGAUCUCCAUUUCCUGUCCAAAAUCUUUUACUGUGCUUCCUUGCUGAAAUCUCUGGCUCUUUCCUGUUUCUCAGUGUGCUGUGCACAGCGACUGUAUUUGUAAGUUUGCCAUUCCCUACCCUGAAGACUUUCUUGAUUAAAUGUUAGCACUUUUUUGUUGCCUAAUUUUCUUCCCUCUCCUUUGGCAGCUUUCCUCAGCUCCUGGCAGUUUCAGUUCUUUGUCCAGGCUGUGCAGUAAGAGAUAUUCUUAUUCUGGGUACAUUUCUCAGAAAGGACAACUUUUGUUGCCUCUCACAGAAGCCUCAUAGAAAUGUGCACAAUGUUUCCUUUUCAACCAGCAGCCUAUGUAAAUCUGUAGGACCCAAAGAAGGCUUCCUGCUAUCGAACUGUAGCAGAGGUGAAAUAUCUCUUUCAGCUCAACCUUCCAUUACAUACCAUAUUCAGCAAUUAAUUACUGAUUUAUUGCUGCUACACUGAGGACUGUUGAUAUGUUUUUUGGGUUUUUUUUUGUUUUGUUUUGUUUUUCCAGAUGCACUGUGCUGUGCUGCAGUCUUUAACGGCAGACAUUAGAUGACCUGAUUAAUGGAAUUAUGACAAAUAUAAAGUGCCUUUUGUACCUAACUAGUAGUAGGAUCAGUACUGACAUCAAUUUAAAUGAUAAUUUAUUAAGGAUAGGAUUAGUAAGAGCUCACUUUAGGAGUGAAGUUAGAAUGUUGCUCAAAAUCUCACCCAGAUCUCCCGUGACUUUUCUUCAGUUUGUCCUUAUGUUGUUGCACUCCAUUGGCCAUUCAGUAGUGGUUAAGGUUACAUGCUUGGAAUAAGGUUCUGAAUUAGAGCUGAUUUUUUUCAAAAAAUAGAUGUUACAAGUACUUACUACUGCCUUGCAGCUUUUAAGCUGCCUUAAAGACAGAAGUGCACCACAUUUACAAUAGCAGCUGCUGUUUUCUCUUGUUCUAAGCAUGCAUUCUAUAGUGAUAUAUUCCUCUCACUGUGUGUAUCCAGUUUCCAAGUGAGCUGCUGAAGACUUAUCUCAAGGGGAGAUCUGUCCUGCUUCCCUGGGCCUUUCUUGACUAGAAAUCCAAGUGGAUUUUGAACACAAACAUCAGAAAUUCUGUUGCAGGAAUUCUUACCCCUCUAACGGGGUUGAAGUUUAGUUUGAAUUUUAAUAUUAUCCUAUUAGAUGCCAGCAUCUAAUAUGAAUAUUAGGUGGCUCUAAAAAAUAAAUAGCAUCUUCUUCCUUAUGGACAAGAUCAGUAAAGGUGAGUCAUUCUGAUAAAUAACUUCUAUCUAGUAACCUGACUGCGCUACCAAUGUCCUUUUUUCCUUUCCUUCCUUCUCGCAGAUCAGUGAGACUCUCAUUUGAUACAGAUGAUAAGUAAAUGGCCCUUAAACUUUCACUACUAGGACUGUAGAGCUUCAAUUCAUAAACUGCAAACAAAUCUUAAAAGCCAACGAUAAAAUAAUUUUGGAGUUGAACUCAGGAUUAGAAGUAAUAAAUUCCAAAUGCAAGGUAUAACCAUGAAUGGGGAAAUAGGUUAGGUUUUUUUGUUGUUGUUGUUUGGUUUUUGCUUUUUGUAUUUUAAAAUUAGGGAGAGGUAAAUCUGUUUUGGCAAGCAAUGACUGAAGUGCAGAAUUCAAGGCAAAUGACUGCAAAUACUUGAGGUACACAAACAGUGGUGAGUGAAGGGGGGUAAACAAACAGUGAUACAAUGGAGAUUGACAGCUUGCAAAGGAAAGUUGAGCUGUUAUGCUCUGCUGAUGCUGAACUGCAUUAGGCUGCAAACUGGGAGAUGGUAGAAUUGCUUCUUCAGAUGCAUGAUUAGCUUGGCCAGAGCACAUGAAAAUGUACAGUUGGGAUCAGUCUUGUUUUGGCCUGGAAUGUAACUAGCUGAAUCCAUGAUUAUUUUUUUCCUUGUUUCUAGCAUCUAUGAUGUCACUCUUGUGAGAACAUUUCAUGAUAGAAAAAAUAGAUAAAAUUCUUCCUCUGAUAUUUCUUUAAGGUUCUGCAGGGAUGGAAAGUCACUGUGCUGAGCUGUCAGAGUCCUGGAGAGUAAAACCUCCUUCUGCUAUGCAUCAUAGGCAAGGGCAGGCCAUGUGUGGGCUGAGAUGGUAAUUAGUUUUUAUAGCAUGUCUAUCUGUGGGUCUUUUUACAAUCUAUUGCCAGAAUAUACUAUUUUAAGAGGUGAGCAUAUGCCUGUUGAGGAUUGAUGUGAGAUCACCAGCUAGGGUCUUGCACGCCACCAAACAGCUGUCAGGAGAGAACACUGGGCUCCAGUCCCACACUGAAUUCCAUGCAGGCAGCCCCUGCACCCCUGCUUGUGGAUCCGCCCCUGCAGAGCUCGACGAGGGAUUCAAGCAGGCAUCAGGUUGUUCCCAGCAGCUGUUUUUCAUUGUGUGUGAAGAGAGAGGGCCCAUCUCUGAAGCAGGAUAUGGGCUGGUGACCUAAUGGUGAAAUAUAUUUUUUCCAGCGUCUUUGGAAAUGCCAGAAAGAGAGGAUGGUGUUUCUGUAUACUUGCUUAAAUUCACACUUUGAGUUAAACUCCCACAUGUCAAGCUUGGAGAGUACUAUCCUGAAGAACAAUGCCCUGCUUGCUGCUCUGCUUUGCCUAUGUCUUUGUCUCCCCAUCACAGGAGCUGAGUACCUCCAGCACAGAGCAUUCUCUGGGGUAAGAAUAACACAGAAUAGCCAAAAGAGGACAGAGCAGCCUUCACCCCAGUGCUACACAGCUGGGGCUCCUUGCCUGCUGCAACCCACUGGGCUGCAGCUCCUGUGAAAGACAGCUGCCUUCAUCCCCUCCUGCUGUUCUGCCACAUGUACUGCACAGAAUUCCUCCUGAGAGUCUUGCGUGCAAUGGGAUUCUGUGAGUUAUUCAAAAAUCGUUUUGUAACUCAGUUUCAUGUGCAGAGAGCAGAUAUAUUUCAAGAUUGUGUCCUACACUAGGGAAAAUUUAACAGUUUCUUUGCCACCUUUAGAGUGCUCCGAAGUUACUGCCUGACCAGAGAGCAACAGAAAUGUGUAUGAGGGACUGAGAAUCCCAGUUUCAGUGGUGACUUCAGGAGGUGUUUGGAGGAAGUGAGACCCCUACCAGGUCUUCAGCGUCUCUUAUCAGGAAAUGUGUAAUGGUUCAAACCCGGGAGAAGCUGAUCCAGGGCAAACUCUCCUGACCUCAUGAAAAACACAUCCAUCUGAACCUCACAGUGAAAUGCAAACAUACAGGCUAACCACAGAAGUUAAGAAAUAUCCUUGCCUGCAUUGUAUUGCUUUAAUGUGGAAAAUUUUAACAUGAGUAGCAGAGCAACAAGUAACACUGCCUGCAAGCUGAUGCCACCAUGAGACUGUCCUCGUGGUGAUGGUAGUGCUUUUCUCAGAAGCAAUAUCCUACUCUAAGUUGCUUUCAUUUUGCAGGUAAAGUUAUACUACUAGAUACUAUUAGUAAACACAGAGAGUAAGAAAAAUGUAAGUGCAAAGGAGAGUGGGGGGAAUGGAGAGAGAGAGAUGAUGAUGAAAGCUAACCUGAGCAGAUCCUUGGUUAUAAGUGAGUAAAUAUUUUAUCCAGAACAGACACCUUUGUCCAGAAGAUGUCAUAUCUGGAAAAUGUCAGAUCUCCUCUGAAGGCAAUCUGUGUAAACUCGCAUGUGUCAGAAUGAGUAUCAGGCAUUCUUAAAGACAAGAAAGACUUCAAACUUAUCCUGCGCAGGUAUAACAGUAGAGUCCAAAUGAUGGUCCUAGUGGUAUCUGAGGUCACAUGCUUUAUGAUAAAAGGCCCAACUUGUAUUUCUCAUUAUAUUAAAAUUAAAGGUGGAUUAUACCACUUGAAACUUGGACAGCUAUAUUCUAUUUUUCACAUAACUUACCUGUUACAAUUAUUUCUUCUGAAAAGAUGGGGAAAUACGUUCAGAGUGAGAAACCACUUAAACUCUGGGAGUCCAUAAACUACAAAGCCUACUGUGCAGAGAUGUGCUAAAUACUGUCAGACCAGUACUAAUCUCUGUUUAAAGUUCUGGUUGUUGCAGUAGUGUGCGUUUUCACCUACUGAUAAAAACAAUAUUACUUUAGGAGCCUUUCCGAUAAAUACAAUGCUGAAGUUAUUCGGUGCAACAUAAACAUUUAGCUCUGCAGUUUAGUCUGUAAACGUUUAAAAGGUUGGAAUGUUUAUCCAAAAUGGCCAGACUUCCAAAAGUGCAAAACUGUUUGCAGUGCUAACAAGGAGUAGAAAAUGAUGAGGGUUACACAUUUGAAAGAGAAGAAGACAAAAUCUGUUUUCCAUAAACUGUUAUCUUCAGGUUUUAUUUCACUUCUGAGCUUCCUUGGAAAUGGUUUGCCUGCUUUGAGUUGAUUUCAGAAAGAAUUGGUGGGGAUUAGGAUUGCUCCUGGAAUCUUAAUGUAAACCCAGGUCCCAGUGAGAGGAGGGAAAGGGACUGAUUCAGUAAAUAAUGCUUUUUCUGUAAUGCUUUCUAUAAAUGCACGCUGAUAUGUCAAGAUGAAAUAAAUAAAUAAAUAAAUAAAGGCAGCAGAGGUUGAAGAGUUGUUUCACGAGCAAUUAAGCUUAACUGCCAUGAAAAUGGUGUUUUCCUAACACAGAGAUGUGGCUGUAACAUCUUCUUUUGUACUUCUAUGUUACGAUACUGCUAGUAAGUCUCCACCCCUAUAUGCAAAUAAACAUGAUUGUUUCUCAGUUUUUGGUUUGGUUACUUAAUGUUUCCACAGGACUUUGCUAGCCCUGGUAUACAUUAUAGUUGUAAAGGGUUUAUUUGGUGUAGUAAGUAGAACUGUUACUUCUGCCUGUUUUUUGUUUGGUUUUUUUUCCUCCCUUUGAUGCACUAAGAUGCUGAGUUCAACCUGAUCUGUAACAUGAUUUGUAUUACUGCCUGCUCUGCUGUUGAAAUCCUCUGCUAAGCCAGAAGGGAGCUGACAACUUCAUAUAGAGGUUCAGCAGCACGGAUGGUAAUGGUCCCAGCAAUGGUUGCACUAAAUUUAAUGUUUUCAUAAGUCAAAAGACAGUUUAGUUCAUGAUGUGGUGAAAGGGCAGUUGAAGGCAGGAGGAUGGCUGAUAUUACUCCAUCUUUUGAUCUGCUAAAUACUCUGCAGUGACUUUAUUUUGCCAACCUUUUUCAUUCUUGCUAUUAGUGCAGCAUUAGUUGUGCAGGGGGCACGGUCAUUACUGGAAGCCUCCGAAUAUUCGCAUCUACAAAAGUUUUGAUAGACAGUAGGAGGACUCCCUCUAUUGGCAAAUUGAUGUGUAACUGUAAAGUAAGAAUUAUUUAAGCAACUGGAUACUUGAAUUAUGUGAAGUCUCACAAAUUUGAUUGACAUAGUUGAGAAUUAAAUAAAAC